CAUUUUGUUGCUUCGGCCAGAAUCAGAUUCUAACACUGAAUCCACGCAUUCUGUCGCUUCGGCCCGAAUCCACAGCAAAAGUCACUCUUGAUCAGAGUAGGACUAUAAACAUGUAGUUCCGUUGGUCUAGAACUAGAUUCUAAUAGUGAAUCAGUCCAUCUGAUAGUGCAUGGACCACGCGGAGUCAUUUGUGUCGCUGUGAG
rnacentral:lncRNA from 1 species